rnacentral:rRNA from 1 species
AUACGGAGGGUGCGAGCGUUAAUCGGAAUUACUGGGCGUAAAGAGUACGUAGGCGGCCUACUAAGUCAGAUGUGAAAGCCCAGGGCUCAACCUUGGAACUGCAUUUGAAACUGGUAGGCUAGAGUAUGGUAGAGGGGGGUAGAAUUUCUGGUGUAGCGGUGAAAUGCGUAGAUAUCAGAAGGAAUACCAGUGGCGAAGGCGGCCCCCUGGCCCAAUACUGACGCUGAGGUACGAAAGCGUGGGUAGCGAACGGGAUUAGAUACCCCGGUAGUCC